rnacentral:rRNA from 1 species
GAUGAACGCUGGCGGCGUGCCUAAUACAUGCAAGUCGAGCGAACAGAUCAGGAGCUUGCUCCUCUGACGUUAGCGGCGGACGGGUGAGUAACACGUUGCUAACCUACCUAUAAUACUGGGAUAACUUCUGGAAACCUGCGCUAAUACCUGAUAAUAUAUUGUACCGCAUUGUUUAAUAGUGAAAUACGGUUUUGCUGUCACUUAUAUAUUUAUCCGCGACGCAUUAUCUCGUUGGUCAGGUAACGGCUUACCAAGGCAACGAUGCGUAGCCGACCUGAGAGGGUGAUAGGCCACACUGGAACUGAGACACGGUCCAGACUCGUACGGGAGGCAGCAGUGGGGAAACUGCCGCAAUGGGAGAAAGCCUGAAGGAGAAAAGCCGCGUGAGUGAUGAAGGGCUUCGGAUAGGAAAACUCUGUUAUUAGGGAAGAACAAAUGUGUAAGUAACUAUGCACGUCUUGACGGUACCAAAUCAGAAAGCAACGGCUAACUACGUG